CGCACAUUGCGCCCGCUGGUAUUCCAGCGGGCAUGCCUGUCCGAGCGUCAUUUCAACCCCUCAAGAGCGCCUGAGUAGGGACUCAUCUCCCUUCUCCGGCGGGCUUGGUGUUGGGGCAUAGCCUGUAACAGGGCUAGCCCUCAAAUUCAGCGGCGUGCCCGGUGUUGCUCCCUAGCGCAGUAGUUUCUCAUAACCAUCUCGCCUGGGCCUGCAGCGUCGGCGUGCGGCCGUAAAACCCGCCAUCGUGCAACCAUGCUUUCUGAAAUUUGACCUCGGAUCAGGUAGGAAUACCCGCUGAACUUAA
rnacentral:misc_RNA from 1 species